rnacentral:rRNA from 1 species
CCUACGGGAGGCAGCAGUGAGGAAUAUUGGUCAAUGUGCGAGAGCCUGAACCAGCCAAGUCGCGUGAAGGAUGAAGGAUCUAUGGGUUGGAAACUUCUUUUAUAUGGGAAUAAAGUGAGGAACGUGGUCCUUUUUGUAUGUACCAUAUGAAUAGGAAUCGGCUAACUCCGGGCCAGCAGCCGCGGUAAUACGGAGGAUGCGAGCGUUAGCCGGAUUUAUUGGGUUUAAAGGGUGCGUAGGUGGUUAAUUAAGACAGCGGUGAAAGUUUGUGGCUCAACCAUAAAAUUGCCGUUUAAACAGGUUGACUUGAGUAUUUUGUAGGGACGCGGAAUGCGUGGUGUAGCGGUGA